GGGGUUGUGGCUCAGUGGUAGAGUGCUUGCCUAGCAUGUACGAGGCACUGGGUUCGAUCCUCAGGACCACA
rnacentral:tRNA from 1 species